CAGGAUGAACGCUAGCUGCAGGCUUAACACAUGCAAGUCGAGGGGCAGCAUGAUCUUAGCUUGCUAAGAUGAUGGCGACCGGCGCACGGGUGAGUAACGCGUAUCCAACCUUCCCUAUAGUAGGGGAUAGCCCGUAGAAAUGCGGAUUAAUACCCUAUGUUGUAUUUUGAGGACAUCUGACGAAUACCAAAGGUUUACCGCUAUAGGAUGGGGAUGCGUCUGAUUAGGUAGUCGGCGGGGUAACGGCCCACCGAGCCAACGAUCAGUAGGGGUUCUGAGAGGAAGGUCCCCCACAUUGGAACUGAGACACGGUCCAAACUCCUACGGGAGGCAGCAGUGAGGAAUAUUGGUCAAUGGGCGAGAGCCUGAACCAGCCAAGUAGCGUGCAGGAUGACGGCCCUAUGGGUUGUAAACUGCUUUUAUGCGGGGAUAAAGUGGGGGACGUGUCCCCCUUUGUAGGUACCGCAUGAAUAAGGACCGGCUAAUUCCGUGCCAGCAGCUGC
rnacentral:rRNA from 1 species